UUUUGGCAGUGAUGACUAAUUUUGAUACGCCAGUUCUGCUUCAGAUAAUUCUUGAUUGAAAAGCUGUUUUCAUUGUCUGAGCCUGUU